AUCGUGGCUCUGAGGCUUCCCCACUUCCUACCAUCACUCCUGCUUGCGGGGCAGCAUUUGAGGAUAGUCAAUGUGAUCACCAAUACUCGUAUAUUCCUGUAGUCCAUUUUCCACCACAGCAUCCUCUCCAGGCACGUGAUAACAGCUGUAGUCGCUGAGCUCACAGAAAGCUGGCCCAAGCAAUGCCGCAGGCAGAUGCUGUAGCCUACUUCCCUGCAGUGGUCCCGUCCCGGUGCGGAGCUCCUUUGCUUGCUGAGAUUUUUGUCAACACCUUAGCAUUAUUAAAAUGUUGUUUUUAAAGUCAAUUUCCUUUUCUUUUCUUUGUAGUUUAUAGAGUGUUGCUGAAGAACUUCUCCCAGGCUAAAAUGAGGAUCAGUUCCAGGUUUCCAAUCAUAUCAACAGUAGGAUCAUGAUUUAUUUCUAAGGUGCCUAUGUAAUUACCCAUACCCCACACACACCUCCCGUUCACACUGAGUUUCCCUGUAGCUAAUGAGUCUUCCCAGAGAGGAGGAGGACUGGCUGGUUCACUGAGCCCCGUGCAAAUGAAUGAGCUUCUAAAACAAAUCCAGUCUCUUUGAAGACUGUGUGUCCCAAAAGCCGUCAGCCCUCAUUGUAAAUAUAAAUGGCUCAGUUGUCUUAAACUGAUUUUUUUUUGCCAAGUUUUGCCAACAGCAUCAUGUUGGUGUUCUUUUUUUUUCCACUAUUGUUGUUUUGGUCAAAGCGUUGAUGGAUUUAUUUUACCUUUAUAGCUUCUGUCAUCUAUACCAGCAUGUUUCCUAUACAAGGCAGUGGAGCCAAACUUACAGCCCCAAAAGAUAAUACAAAAUAUUUGGAUAUCCGGAUCCAACCCACGCUGGAAAUGUGUGGAGUGUUCUGGGGCUAGAUUUAACUGCCAGCAAGUCUUGUACAAUUCAGCUGACUUCAGCAGAGCUGCCUGGGAAAGCAAACUUGGGCUGUUUGUAUUUGUUGUGUGGUGCUGUGGAGUCCCCCAGAUGAAAGGUGCUACAGAGGUAUGAAAAAAUGUGCUUUCUUUUAAAGUGCUAGGGUGUGUGG
rnacentral:lncRNA from 1 species